rnacentral:rRNA from 1 species
GACGAACGCUGGCGGCGUGCCUAAUACAUGCAAGUAGAACGCAGUUGCGAACGGGUGAGUAACGCGUAGGUAACUGCCUCAUAGCGGGGGAUAACUAUUGGAAACGAUAGCUAAUACCGCAUACUGUGAGAUGGACCUGCGUUGUAUUAGGUAGUUGUUGAGGUAAAGGCCCACCAAGGCGACGAUACAUAGCCGACCUGAGAGGGUGAUCGGGCACAAUGGGACGGAGAAACGGCCCAGACCUCUACGGGAGGCAGCCGGAGGGAAUCUUCGGAAAUGGACGGAAGUCUGACCGAGCCAAGGCGCGUGAGUGAAGAAGGUUUUCGGAUCGUAAAGCUCUGUUGUUAGAGAAGCGGUAACUAAACAGAAAGGGACGGCUAACUACGUGCCAGCCGCCGCGGUAAUUC